rnacentral:lncRNA from 1 species
AUAUAAAUGAAUUCUAAGUUUUAAAGCAUGCGUAGCUAAUUUAUGAUGAUUAUUAUCUGCUGAACUCAGAUUUGACUUAGGAGAAAACUUAUUAACCUACACCUGUCACUUUUUGAAAAGUUAUCAAAUUUAGCUUCAGGAGCUUUUUUUUUUGUAUCACUAUUGUUAGUGCGUCGUGGAUACUUAAACUAGUGUAGGUUGAGAUUACACUCGUGCUGAGUUACAGUAGAGUUAGACUGUUUUGUACUGUCGAGUGCCGUCGAGGCUGACGGUGGAUCAGAUUCUGAUAUCUUGUAUCAGAUUGUGCCAAAGGCACGUGAGCCUUGGUUGUUAGACUAGUGAGACCCAGUUGUAUUGAUUAUAGCCUGUGUGAGCUUGAUUGAACUCGACAGAGACACGCUUGUAUAUUCGGUUGGGUCGCACUCACGAGUAUCGCUCCGGAGUGAGGCUUAUCUUACGUUGACGCGCAACAGUCCCGUUUUGGGUAGUUUUCUUGGACCAGCCACCCCCGUGGGUGGUGUGCGGUGUAGUUUGGGCACAGGCUGGACUGGCUAGUUGGCGGUCCCUUGAGAUUGGGUCAGUUGUGGCUGAUUUGUAGCUAGUGAUGCAUUUAUAUGUCUACAGAGAGUAUGGUAUGGAUAGCGAUAGUAUAUUGCCAUUUAGCUGUAGAGUUUCUUUCAGCUUAUUUUACUAUCUUUUUACCUAUCAGUUUAUUACUCAUACUGUAGACUUAGUGGGUAGGUCGUUGGGGUCGGUGAUGGUACCCACUAAGGACUACUCUGUUUUGCAGUAGUUCUCACACCCAUUGUCGCCACUCUUUUUUCAGAGCAGUCAGUUGCUGCUGCUGCUCCUGAUCGAGGUAAGGGAGUCACGAGCUAGAUCCCUAUCUUUCUCGGUCACUUUAUUAGAGGAGUACCCCUGCCAGAGAUAGUUUUGGAUGUGGCCAUGUACAUACAGUGGAUUUAGUUUUACUUUCUGAGAGAUGGUUGUAUCUUGGGUACUGGAUGGUUAGGCUUGUAUUUUGGAACUUGUAUGUACAGUCUGCCUUUUUAUUUAUAUAUGUUUUAAUUUUAGCAGCUCUGUACUUCUAGUAGAAGCAAUUAUCUGUUUGCAGGUACAACUAUCGCUUCGUAUACAUAGAAAAUUUUUAUGUAUACGGCGGGGCGGGUCUGUUGGCGAGCCCGGGGAAUGUCAUAAUCCGAGGCGUGACAUAUAUAAUAAAAAAAACUAUUGUUUUUCUUUCAACUAAACAAGUGUGGUUAAAAACUUUUUUUCUUUUUCCUACAAACCAAACAUUAAAAUCCGUAAAAAAAAAAAAUUUCUAGAAAAAAUUUCUUCCACGAUAAAUCUUUUUUUUUUUUUUCAAAUUUACGUAUAACCAAACAGCCCCUUAUCCCCCUCGUUUCCCAUUCCUCUCCCAAGCCCUAACGUUAUGCGUCCCUCUCUCGCUCUUCCUCUCUCUUCUCCUAUUCUCUCCUUCCAAAACCUAAACAUAAGACGUGGUAAUCCAAGGUGAUCCUCUGAUCCCCUCAUCUCUCUCUUAUAUUCUAAUUGAAUCUUUUCGAUCUCUUCCUCUCCAUUUUCUCUCGAUUUGCUUAUUGAAUUGA